rnacentral:rRNA from 1 species
UACGGAGGGUGCAAGCGUUAAUCGGAAUUACUGGGCGUAAAGCGUGCGCAGGCGGUUAUAUAAGACAGUUGUGAAAUCCCCGGGCUCAACCUGGGAACUGCAUCUGUGACUGUAUAGCUAGAGUACGGUAGAGGGGGAUGGAAUUCCGCGUGUAGCAGUGAAAUGCGUAGAGAUGUGGAGGAACACCGAUGGCGAAGGCAGCCCCCUGGGUCAAGACUGACGCUCAUGCACGAAAGCGUGGGGAGCAAACAGG